CACUUUCAGUGUCCUGGGAGAAGUAUUUGCACCAGCUUGGGCCCUUGGUUCUCCACAAAGAAUUAAAUUGUUUGCGUGUUGGUGGCAACAGAGAUGGAAGGCCAAAGGAAAUGCAGAAGAGAUCCACAGCAAAGGUUGAAAAUGGGGUGCUUCCAGUGUGGGGGAUGGACAGUAAGGCUGCAGGCACCACUAGGAAGAUCUCCAGUGGAGUGACUUCAGCAGCGGGAGCCAGAAGAAGAGUUCAGAGAGCACCUCGAGAUGAAGCAGAGCUGUGGCUGCACCUGCAUUUACACCCUGGGUAGAAGAGAGCACAGUCCAAGUCUACAGCUCAAGCGUGAAGGCCAAGGAAGUAAGGUGUAACCUUGUGAUUGCUUGCUGCCAUCUCCAG